AUGGCCUGGACUUCUGUUUGGAUCACACUUCUGGCUCACUGCACAGGGGCCAUUUCCCAGGCUGUUGUGACUCAGGAAUCAUCACUCACCACAUCUCCUGGAGGGACAGUCACACUCACCUGUGGCUCAAGUACUGGGGCUGUUACUACAAGUAACUAUGCCAACUGGGUCCAAGAAAAAUCUUACCGGGUACACAGUGGUCUGAUAGGUGAUACUAGCAACAGAAUCCCAGGUGUUCCUGCCCGAUCCUCAGGCUCCCUGCUUGGAGACAAGGCUGCCCUCACCAUCACAGGGGAACAGCCUGAGGAUGAGCCUGUGUAUUAUUGUGCUCUAUGGUUCACAAAUUGUUGGGUGUUCGGCGGAGGCACCACGUUGACUGUCCUAGGUCAACCCAAGGCUACACCUUCAGUUACGCUGUUUCCACCAUCCUCUGAGGAGCUUAAGACCAAAAAGGCCACACUGGUGUGUGUGAUGACUGACUUUUACCCAGGUGUUGUGACAGUGGCCUGGAAGGCAAAUGGUACACCUAUCACCCAGGGUGUAGAGACCACUAAGCCUGUGAAACAGGGUGACAAGUACGUGGCUAACAGCUACCUGCACUUGACAGAAGAAGCAUGGAAAUCUAAAAGCAGUGUCAGCUGCCUGGUCACUCAUGAAGGGGACACUGUGGAGAAGAGCUUGUCCCCUGGAAUGUGUCCCUAGGCCUUUCAACAUUCAUCUCACCCACACAGGCUGGGAUUUGAAUCAUGCACAAGUAUACCCUUACUGUUCUUGCCUAACAUAGACCUUUACCCUGCUCCUGAAAUGCACAAUAAAAUAUCCAUUCUCAACUUGUAA